UACGUAGGCAGCGAGCGUUGUUCGGAGUUACUGGGCGUAAAGAGUGCGUAGGCGGUUUUCUAAGUCUGGUGUGAAAUCUCCCGGCUUAACUGGGGGGGUGCGCCGAAAACUGGAAGGCUUGAGUAUGGGAGAGGUAAGCGGAAUUCCUGGUGUAGCGGUGAAAUGCGUAGAUAUCAGGAGGAACACCUGCGGUGUAGACGGCUUACUGGACCAUAACUGACGCUGAGGCACGAAAGCGUGGGUAGCAAACAGG
rnacentral:rRNA from 1 species